rnacentral:tRNA from 1 species
UGGGGCGUGGUGCAGCGGGAGCAUACUGACACUUGACAUAUUGGCUUUGCGGCUGUUGAGUCACGACCCGGGUUCGACUCCCGGCGCCUCAG